CUCUGUAAUCCUACUAGAACUCAUACCAUGUAAUCCCACUAGAACUCCUACCUUGUAACCGACUAGUAAUCCUGCCCCCUAGAGUAUAUAAAGGAAGGCAGAGGUUACUAGAUUGGUAGACGAAGACCUCAUAGAACCACAACAGAUGACUAAAUCCUCAAUACAAAACAACACCCAAGUGCAGGGCGCAAUAUACAACACCCAAACAGAAUGUAGGGUAUUACGCUUCUCUGGCAGCUCGAAUCUAUAUAAAUCUGUGUCUUGUGUCCUCACUUUUACCAUCAAGUUUCAGGUCUACCGAUCCCCCACCAACCAAUCUAC
rnacentral:lncRNA from 1 species